rnacentral:lncRNA from 1 species
CAAACCCUCCACAGGUUUCCCCCAAAAUCCCCUCCUUUGUCCCCCCAAAAACCCGUCCCGUGUCACCAAAACCCCACCACGUGUCACGUGUCCCAUGUCCCCGUGUCCCGUCUCCCCAUCUCCCGUGUCCUGUGUCAUCCCCAUGUCCCGUGUCCCCCUGGUGUCCUCGUGUCCCCAUCCCUGUGUCCCCAUGUCCCGUGUCCCCGUGUCCUCAUGGUGUCCUCGUGUCCCCAUGUCCCGUGUCCCGUGUCCUGUGUCAUCCCCGUGUCCCCGUGUCUCCGUGUUCUGUGUUUCCAUCUCCAUGCCUCAUGUCCCGUGUCCCAUCUCCCGUGUCCUGUGUCAUCCCCGUGUCCCCAUGUCCCACGUCAUCCCCGUGUCCCUGUGUCCCGUGUCCCCGUGUCAUCCCCAUGUCCCACGUCCCCGUGUCCCCGUGUCAUCCCUGUGUCCCCAUGUCCCAUGUCCUGUGUCCCCGUGCCCCAUUUCCCCAUCUCCUGUGUCCCGUGUCCCCAUCUCCCGUGUCAUCCCCAUGUCCCUGUGUCCCGUGUCCCAUGUCCCCAUGUCCUGUGUCCCCGUGUCCCAUGUCAUCCCCGUGUCCCAUGUCAUCCCUGUGUCCCAUGUCCCGUGUCCCCGUGUCCCAUGUCCCCAUCCCCACAUUCUGUGUCAUCCUCAUGUCCCGUGUCCCGUGUCCCCUUAUCCCAUGUCCCGUGUCCCCGUGGUGUCGUGUCCCCAUCCCUGCGUCCCCAUGUCCCGUGUCCCCAUGUCCCAUGUCAUUCCCGUGUACCCGUGUCCUGUGUUUCCAUCCCCAUGCCUCGUGUCCCGUGUUCCACAUCCCUGUGUCCCCGUGUCCUGUGUCAUCCCUGUGUCCCCAUGUCCCAUGUCCCGUGUCCCCGUGUCCCAUGUCCCCAUCCCCACGUUCUGUGUCAUCCCCGUGUCCCCGUGUCCUGUGUCAUCCCCGUGUCCCCAUGUCCCAUGUCCCCGUGCCCCAUUUCCCCAUCUCAUGUGUCCCGUGUCCCCGUGUCCCGUGUCAUCCCUGUGUCCCGUGUCCCCAUGUCCCAUGUCCUGUGUCCCCGUGUCCCGUGUCAUCCCCGUGUCCCGUGUCCCCGUGUCGCACCGGCGCAGGAGCGCACGCCCUUGUGCAGCCGCAGCUGGAACCCGCGGUGACAGUGACAGUUGUAGGAGCCGCCCGUGUUCAUGCACACGCCGCGGCCCACGCCGCACGGGUCCGCCUCACACUCGUUCACGUCUGUGCGAGCACACGCGUGUCAGAGCGUGACGGGGCGUGACGUGCACCCCCCAACCCCCAGCGUGCGUGGGGAGGCCUGCCAAAGCACCAUCCCCCCCCCCCCGUGC